rnacentral:rRNA from 1 species
GACGAACGCUGGCGGCGUGCUUAACACAUGCAAGUCGAACGGAAAGGCCCUGCUUUUGUGGGGUGCUCGAGUGGCGAACGGGUGAGUAACACGUGAGUAACCUGCCCUUGACUUUGGGAUAACUUCAGGAAACUGGGGCUAAUACCGGAUAGGAGCUCCUGCUGCAUGGUGGGGGUUGGAAAGUUUCGGCGGUUGGGGAUGGACUCGCGGCUUAUCAGCUUGUUGGUGGGGUAGUGGCUUACCAAGGCUUUGACGGGUAGCCGGCCUGAGAGGGUGACCGGCCACAUGGGGACUGAGAUACGGCCCAGACUCCUACGGUAGGCAGCAGUGGGGAAUAUUGCACAAUGGGCGGAAGCCUGAUGCAGCAACGCCGCGUGCGGGAUGACGGCCUUCGGGUUGUAAACCGCUUUCGCCUGUGACGAAGCGUGAGUGACGGUAAUGGGUAAAGAAGCACCGGCUAACUACGUG